GCGAAAAGAACCCCGGCGAGGGGAGUGAAAAAGAACCUGAAACCGUGUACGUACAAGCAGUGGGAGCCCCACCACUAAGCCAGUGGUGAACUCCACAUACGCAUCCUUUGCUGAGGAUACGGUUAACGGAGCGAAAGCGACGUUCAACCUCAAAAGAAGCAGAGGGGGCUUAGUGGUGGGGUGACUGCGUACCUUUUGUAUAAUGGGUCAGCGACUUAUAUUCUGUAGCAAGGUUAACCGCAUAGGGGAGCCGGAGGGAAACCGAGUCUUAAUUGGGCGUUAAGUUGCAGGGUAUAGACCCGAAACCCGGUGAUCUAGCCAUGGGCAGGUUGAAGGUUGGGUAACACUAACUGGAGGACCGAACCGACUAAUGUUGAAAAAUUAGCGGAUGACCUGUGGCUGGGGGUGAAAGGCCAAUCAAACCGGGAGAUAGCUGGUUCUCCCCGAAAGCUAUUUAGGUAGCGCCUCGUGAAUUCAUCUCCGGGGGUAGAGCACUGUUUCGGCUAGGGGGCCAUCCCGGCUUACCAACCCGAUGCAAACUGCGAAUACCGGAGAAUGUUAUCACGGGAGACACACGGCGGGUGCUAACGUCCGUCGUGAAGAGGGAAACAACCCAGACCGCCAGCUAAGGUCCCAAAGUCAUGGUUAAGUGGGAAACGAUGUGGGAAGGCCCAGACAGCCAGGAUGUUGGCUUAGAAGCAGCCAUCAUUUAAAGAAAGCGUAAUAGCUCACUGGUCGAGUCGGCCUGCGCGGAAGAUGUAACGGGGCUAAACCAUGCACCGAAGCUGCGGCAGCGAACGUAUCACUUAAAGCGAUUCAGCGGGUUACGAUUGACGGAGCGAAGCGACGUCAAAGCGUAUACAAAGUCGAGUCGGUUUAAGGAUACGUUCGUUGGGUAGGGGAGCGUUCUGUAAGCCUGCGAAGGUGGCCUGUGAGGGUUGCUGGAGGUAUCAGAAGUGCGAAUGCUGACAUAAGUAACGAUAAAGCGGGUGAAAAGCCCGCUCGCCGGAAGACCAAGGGUUCCUGUCCAACGUUAAUCGGGGCAGGGUGAGUCGACCCCUAAGGCGAGGCCGAAAGGCGUAGUCGAUGGGAAACGGGUUAAUAUUCCCGUACUUGGUGUUACUGCGAAGGGGGGACGGAGAAGGCUAUGUUGGCCGGGCGACGGUUGUCCCGGUUUAAGCGUGUAGGUGUGUGUUCCAGGUAAAUCCGGUUCACUUUAACACUGAGGCGUGACGACGAGGCACUACGGUGCUGAAGCAACAAAUGCCCUGCUUCCAGGAAAAGCCUCUAAGCAUCAGGUAACAUCAAAUCGUACCCCAAACCGACACAGGUGGUCAGGUAGAGAAUACCAAGGCGCUUGAGAGAACUCGGGUGAAGGAACUAGGCAAAAUGGUGCCGUAACUUCGGGAGAAGGCACGCUGACACGUAGGUGAAGUGAUUUACUCAUGGAGCUGAAGUCAGUCGAAGAUACCAGCUGGCUGCAACUGUUUAUUAAAAACACAGCACUGUGCAAACACGAAAGUGGACGUAUACGGUGUGACGCCUGCCCGGUGCCGGAAGGUUAAUUGAUGGGGUCAGCGCAAGCGAAGCUCCUGAUCGAAGCCCCGGUAAACGGCGGCCGUAACUAUAACGGUCCUAAGGUAGCGAAAUUCCUUGUCGGGUAAGUUCCGACCUGCACGAAUGGCGUAAUGAUGGCCAGGCUGUCUCCACCCGAGACUCAGUGAAAUUGAACUCGCUGUGAAGAUGCAGUGUACCCGCGGCAAGACGGAAAGACCCCGUGAACCUUUACUAUAGCUUGACACUGAACAUUGAGCCUUGAUGUGUAGGAUAGGUGGGAGGCUUUGAAGCGUGGACGCCAGUCUGCGUGGAGCCGACCUUGAAAUACCACCCUUUAAUGUUUGAUGUUCUAACGUGGACCCGUGAUCCGGGUUGCGGACAGUGUCUGGUGGGUAGUUUGACUGGGGCGGUCUCCUCCUAAAGAGUAACGGAGGAGCACGAAGGUUGGCUAAUCCUGGUCGGACAUCAGGAGGUUAGUGCAAUGGCAUAAGCCAGCUUGACUGCGAGCGUGACGGCGCGAGCAGGUGCGAAAGCAGGUCAUAGUGAUCCGGUGGUUCUGAAUGGAAGGGCCAUCGCUCAACGGAUAAAAGGUACUCCGGGGAUAACAGGCUGAUACCGCCCAAGAGUUCAUAUCGACGGCGGUGUUUGGCACCUCGAUGUCGGCUCAUCACAUCCUGGGGCUGAAGUAGGUCCCAAGGGUAUGGCUGUUCGCCAUUUAAAGUGGUACGCGAGCUGGGUUUAGAACGUCGUGAGACAGUUCGGUCCCUAUCUGCCGUGGGCGCUGGAGAACUGAGGGGGGCUGCUCCUAGUACGAGAGGACCGGAGUGGACGCAUCACUGGUGUUCGGGUUGUCAUGCCAAUGGCACUGCCCGGUAGCUAAAUGCGGAAGAGAUAAGUGCUGAAAGCAUCUAAGCACGAAACUUGCCCCGAGAUGAGUUCUCCCUGAGACUUUAGGUCUCCUGAAGGAACGUUGAAGACGACGACGUUGAUAGGCCGGGUGUGUAAGCGCAGCGAUGCGUUGAGCUAACCGGUACUAAUGAACCGUGAGGCUUAACCUU
rnacentral:rRNA from 1 species